CGCUGAAGCCUGGUGCUUGCACCGGGUGGAUGAGUGGCGAACGGGUGAGUAACACGUGAGUAACCUGCCCCUGACUUCGGGAUAAGCCCGGGAAACUGGGUCUAAUACCGGAUACGACUGCCGGACGCAUGUCUGGUGGUGGAAAGUUUUUUCGGUUGGGGAUGGGCUCGCGGCCUAUCAGUUUGUUGGUGAGGUAAUGGCUCACCAAGACGACGACGGGUAGCCGGCCUGAGAGGGCGACCGGCCACACUGGGACUGAGACACGGCCCAGACUCCUACGGGAGGCAGCAGUGGGGAAUAUUGCACAAUGGGGGAAACCCUGAUGCAGCGACGCAGCGUGCGGGAUGACGGCCUUCGGGUUGUAAACCGCUUUCAGCAGGGAAGAAGCGCAAGUGACGGUACCUGCAGAAGAAGUACCGGCUAACUACGUGCCAGCAGCCGCGGUAAUACGUAGGGUACGAGCGUUGUCCGGAAUUAUUGGGCGUAAAGAGCUCGUAGGUGGUUGGUCACGUCUGCUGUGGAAACGCAACGCUUAACGUUGCGCGUGCAGUGGGUACGGGCUGACUAGAGUGCAGUAGGGGAGUCUGGAAUUCCUGGUGUAGCGGUGAAAUGCGCAGAUAUCAGGAGGAACACCGGUGGCGAAGGCGGGACUCUGGGCUGUAACUGACACUGAGGAGCGAAAGCAUGGGGAGCGAACAGGAUUAGAUACCCUGGUAGUCCAUGCCGUAAACGUUGGGCACUAGGUGUGGGGGGCAUUCCACGUUCUCCGCGCCGUAGCUAACGCAUUAAGUGCCCCGCCUGGGGAGUACGGUCGCAAGGCUAAAACUCAAAGGAAUUGACGGGGGCCCGCACAAGCGGCGGAGCAUGCGGAUUAAUUCGAUGCAACGCGAAGAACCUUACCAAGGCUUGACAUACACCGGACCGUCCUGGAAACAGGUCCUCUUCUUUGAAGCUGGUGUACAGGUGGUGCAUGGUUGUCGUCAGCUCGUGUCGUGAGAUGUUGGGUUAAGUCCCGCAACGAGCGCAACCCUCGUUCUAUGUUGCCAGCAUGUGAUGGUGGGAACUCAUAGGAGACUGCCGGGGUCAACUCGGAGGAAAGGUGGGGAUGACGUCAAAUCAUCAUGCC
rnacentral:rRNA from 1 species